CAGGCCUAACACAUGCAAGUCGAGCGGUAACAGGCCCUUCGGGGUGCUGACGAGCGGCGGACGGGUGAGUAAUGCAUGGGAACUUACCCAGUAGUGGGGGAUAGCCCGGGGAAACCCGGAUUAAUACCGCAUACGCCCUGAGGGGGAAAGCGGGCUCCGGCUCGCGCUAUUGGAUGGGCCCAUGUCGGAUUAGUUUGUUGGUGAGGUAAUGGCUUACCAAGGCGACGAUCCGUAGCUGGUCUGAGAGGAUGAUCAGCCACACCGGGACUGAGACACGGCCCGGACUCCUACGGGAGGCAGCAGUGGGGAAUAUUGGACAAUGGGGGCAACCCUGAUCCAGCCAUGCCGCGUGUGUGAAGAAGGCCCUAGGGUUGUAAAGCACUUUCAGCAGGGAGGAAAAGCUGUCGGUUAAUACCCGCCAGUGUUGACGUUACCUGCAGAAGAAGCACCGGCUAACUCCGUGCCAGCAGCCGCGGUAAUACGGAGGGUGCAAGCGUUAAUCGGAAUUACUGGGCGUAAAGGGCGCGUAGGCGGUCUGAUAAGCGGGUUGUGAAAGCCCCGGGCUCAACCUGGGAAUUGCAAUCCGAACUAUCAGGCUAGAGUGCAGCAGAGGGCAGUGGAAUUCCCGGUGUAGCGGCGAAAUGCGUAGAUAUCGGGAGGAACACCAGUGGCGAAGGCGACUGCCUGGGCUGACACUGACGCUGAGGUGCGAAAGCGUGGGUAGCAAACAGGAUUAGAUACCCUGGUAGUCCACGCUGUAAACGAUGUCUACUAGCCGUCGGGGUCCUUAGUGACUUUGGUGGCGCAGCUAACGCGAUAAGUAGACCGCCUGGGG
rnacentral:rRNA from 1 species